AGCAAAGCAGAGGGAUGAGCAGUGUUCGAGGGGCUCGCUGAUGAAUGUUCUGGAGUAGCCCUGACCCUGCUUAACAUGAGUUGUUCCUGUGAAGUUCCUUAAGGACACCAUGGUCUGCUCAUCUUUCUACUUCCAGAUCUGGAAUAGU
rnacentral:lncRNA from 1 species